rnacentral:lncRNA from 1 species
CUUGUGUCUUUACAUACAUAGUACGUACUAUCAUCAUGGUAACAAAGUCAGUCCUAAAGAAGAGUUAUGUUUGUCAAUGUUGUUGUGAUGAAAAUGCAUAAAUAAAAAUAGAAGUUUGUUGCUGAUAGGAUAUUUUGGGAGGAUGGGUGUGACAUCGUUUAUUUGAAGUAUAUAUUCUGUAUUUGAUGUUGAACACAACAAAGUUUGUCUGGAGGUUGAGUGAAGCAUCAUUUUUAAAAACUCUUCGAAUACUUGAUCUAAGAAAAUACGAUGUAUAAAGUAGAGUAUGCGCUCUUAGCGGCAAUGAUGGCUUCAAGGAGAUGGAGGAAGACCUGGCACCCCCUGGGGAUGUAAUCCUCUAUCAUGGCGUCCCAGUGCUGGCUGACAGUAGCUUUGAAGGUCUGGGUUUUUGGAUGUCGGACACUACAGGACUUCCCCUUGGCAUGCUCCCAAAAGGUAUAGUCGAAGGGAUUUGCAUUAGGGAUGUAGGGGGGCCAAAAGUGUCAUACAAAUAGUUCAAAAGAACUCCAAAGACUAAUUUAAAACUCCUUUAAAAGAUUGUUGCAACGGAAAAGAUAGUUUUCUUUCAUAGCUGGUGUCAAAAGUGGACUUGCAACCCUUACAAGGCUCUUAGCAACCACUUUUUUGAUAGCUCUCUGGACAGUCUAGUGUGAUGCCCCGAGAUGUUUAUGAUGCAAUAUAUUGGAAUAUGAAUUAAUUUCAAUCCCUCAAUCUUCAUUAAUUAUUGAAUUAGUAAGUGUUCAGAUUUCAAUGGACCACCCGGUAAACUUAAAAAGGGAAUACAUACAGUGAAGAAAAUAAUUAUUUGAUACCUUGGUGAUUAUGUAAGUUUACCCAAUCAUAUCGAUUUUUUAUAGAAUUGAGGUCCAGAGACUGGCAAUGCCACUCAAUGAUCUUAAUGUGUUUCUUCUUGAUAGAGAGAUACAUUAUAUGAACAAAAAAGUAUUAGAAAAAAACUGAGUAUAAGCACAGGAACACCAUCCCCACUGUCAAGAAUGGGGUCGGAAACGUUAUGUAGUAUAUGUGUUUUUUCUCUGCUAAGGGAAAAUGACUGCUUCACCGCAUCAAAUGGGGACAUCUUGGGUGACAACCUCCUUCCCUCAUGGUCGUAUAAUUAAUGGAUCUUCCCAUACGACAAUGAUCCAAAACAUACGGAAAAGGCAACAAAGGAGAGGCUCAAGGAAAAAUACUUUAAGGCUAUAGAGUGGCCUAGCCGGUCUCCAGACCUCAAUCCCAUAGAGAAUAUUUAUCAGCUAGCAAACUUAAUAAAGCAACAAUUCAUCAAUCAUUUCGUCACUUUCAUUUUUAGGAACAGGUCUCUUUUCGGGGAAUUCUUUUCGGCAAAGAUACUUUUCAGCGUC